rnacentral:misc_RNA from 1 species
GAUGAAGAACGUAGCGAAAUGCGAUACGUAAUGUGAAUUGCAGAAUUCAGUGUAUCAUCGAAUCUUUGAACGCACAUUGCGCCCGCCAGCACUCUGGCGGGCAUGCCUGUUCGAGCGUCAUUUCAACCAUCAAGCCCCAGGCUUGCGUUGGAGCCCUGCGGCUGCCGCAGCCUCCUAAAAGCAGUGGCGGGCUCGCUAUCACACCGAGUGCAGUAGAUUACUCUUCGCUCAGGGCGUGCAGCGGGUUCCGGCCGUGAAACCCCCUACUUUUAAAGGUUGACCUCGGAUCAGGUAGGAAUACCCGCUGAACUUAAGCAUAUCAAUAAGCGGAGGA